rnacentral:rRNA from 1 species
GGGUGCCAUAAUACGGAUACUAAUUCAUCGGAUCCCAAUAGAACUCCUAUGUUAAGCGUGUUUGGAAGAGAGUAGUACUAGGAUGGGUGACCUCCUAGGUUGUACUCGUGUUGCACCCC